CAGUAGCCGCGGGAAUACGUAGGUCCCGAGCGUUGUCCGGAUUUAUUGGGCGUAAAGCGAGCGCAGGCGGUUAGAUAAGUCUGAAGUUAAAGGCUGAGGCUUAACCAUAGUACGCUUUGGAAACUGUUUAACUUGAGUGCAAGAGGGGAGAGUGGAAUUCCAUGUGUAGCGGUGAAACGCGUAGAUAUAUGGAGGAACACCGGUGGCGAAAGCGGCUCUCUGGCUUGUAACUGACGCUGAGGCUCGAAAGCGUGGGGAGCAAACAGGAUUAGAUACCCCUGUAGUCCCUGUCUCUUAUACA
rnacentral:rRNA from 1 species